rnacentral:misc_RNA from 1 species
GGCCACUAGAUCCAUCUUUUUUGUCUCCAUCAAUUGUUACACGACGUUGAGGGAAUAACUUGCAAAUCUGCUUUACAACCACAGACUGUUUAUGAAGAAGCUCAGAGGUAAUUGCCAUAUGUCCAAGAUUCUGAGUGCAGAUAAGAUUAGGAUAAAACUUCUCAAGUUGCUCCGCACGAUUUUUUUCCAGCAUCCUUGUUGCUGAUCCUAGCAACUCGUACUGCACUUUCAGGUCAUGAGACAUCUUCUCAAUUUUCGCCUUCCCUUGUGAAACUUGCUCCUUUUGCUGUCGGAGUUUUUCCCUUAAUCUUGCCAAUUUUUCAUUCCGAGGCACCCUCCAACUAAGUUGAUCGUCG